rnacentral:rRNA from 1 species
AUGGCUCUCAAGCAGAAGGGGAGCGACGCCGCCGCCGCCGACACCAGCAAGCGCCGCCGCGUCGGCUUCGCCGGCAUCGAUGCUGGAACUGAAGCGAAUGAAUGCAUGCAAGUGUUUAUUGCAAGAAACCCUGACGAGGUGGGCUCAGCAGACAGCACUCCCAUCGAGCCAUUUGACCUAAACCAUUUCUUUGGUGAAGAUGGCAAGAUAUAUGGCUACACAAAUCUCAAGAUCAAUGUGUGGAUAAGUGCUAUAUCAUUUCAUGCAUAUGCCGAGAUUUCAUUCCAGGAAACAUCUGAUGGAGGGAAAGGGAUCACAGAUGUAAAGCCUGUCCUUCAGAACAUUUUCGGGGAAAACCUAGUAGAAAAAGAUGAAUUUCUGGAGGCAUUCUCAAAGGAAUGCCAGUGCAUCAGUGAUGUUGUGAAGAAUGGUAAUUCCAUUAAACAUGAUGCAUCAGAUGAAGAUGAUCUGUCAGUUCAGAUUGUUCGAGUUGAACUCCAAGGUGCUGCUGCAUACCUUUAUUCACGUUUGGUAUCACUUGUUCUGCUUCUGGUUGAAGGUUCCACACCUAUAGAUAUCACGGAACAUGGAUGGCAAAUGCUCCUUGUAGUGAAGAAGGCAGAGCUUGAGUCAUCUGCUUCAAAAUUUCAGUUGCUAGGCUUUGCAGCUGUCCACCAUUUUUAUCAUUACCCUGAGAGCACUCGCUUGCGUAUCAGUCAGAUACUGGUCUUACCACCUUAUCAGGGUGAAGGGCACGGCCGUCGUCUUCUUGAGGCAAUCAAUUCUAUUGCAGAAUCCGAGAACAUGUAUGACGUAACUAUCGAAGACCCUUCUGAUUACCUGCAGUAUGUACGUUCGUCCAUCGACUGUCUCCGUCUCCUCACCUUUGAGCCAAUCAAGCCUGCACUUGGUGCUAUGGUCUUGUCUCUAGAACAGACCAACCUGUCUAAAAGAACUCGCAGUUCGAUAAUGGUUCCGCCGGCUGACCUGGCCGAGACCGUGCGGCAGAAGCUGAAGAUCAACAAGAAGCAGUUCCUGCGGUGCUGGGAAAUUCUGAUCUAUCUACACCUUGACGCCGAAAACCUCAAGUGCAUCGACAACUUCAGGGCCUGCAUCUACGACCGCACCAAAGGUGAGCUGCUCGGUGGCGCCUCUGGAACCAACGGGAAGCGGCUUGUCCAAGUGCCCACUAGUUUCGAUGAGGACACGUCAUUUGCUGUGUUCUGGACAAAGGAGGGCGGGGACGAAGAUAAUCAGACAGUCCAGCAGCAGCCGGAAGAUCUCGCCACUCAGGAGCAGCAGCUAAAUGAAUUGGUGGACAAUCAAAUGGAAGAGAUUGCUGAGGUCGCCAAGAACGUUGCCUCACGCGUUAAGGAUAAAUUGGCUGCUUGA